rnacentral:misc_RNA from 1 species
GAUGAAGAACGUAGUGAAAUGCGAUAAGUAAUGUGAAUUGCAGAAUUCAGUGAAUCAUCGAAUCUUUGAACGCACAUUGCGCCUAUUAGUAUUCUAGUGGGCAUGCCUGUUCGAGCGUCAUUAAGUCCACUUAAGCCCUGCUUAGUGUUGGGAGACUGCUCCAGCGGUGCUACCCUGUAGCUACCCUGCAGCUCCUCAAAGACAGCGGCGGAGUUGUGGUAUCCUCUGAGCUUAGUAACUUGUUCUAGCUUUCGAGUACACCACUUCCCCUGCCGUAAAACCCUUAAUUUUUAAUGGUUGACCUCGGAUCAGGUAGGAAUACCCGCUGAACUUAAGCAUAUCAAUAAGCGGAGGA